CAAAAGUCCUUUCAAUAGGAGUCGUGUCGUUACCGAGCUGAUAACUGCUAUCGAGAGAAGAUAACAUGGAGAAGUUUGCUCUUAUCUUCAUCGCAACAACUCUAAUUCUCUCGAAUUUUACUAAUGCGAGAAGUCGUUGGACAAGAGAUGUUCAACCCCCGAAAAGUUUCCUUUGGAAAGUUUCUACCUUUCACAGACCGUGGUAUUCGGGACGAAGAGAAGCCGAAUUCCCCAAGAAGAUAGGGAUCAGCCAAACAAGAGGAUUUGAUCAAGCAGAGUGGAUUGUUAGGAACAAAAGCUAGGAACAAAAAACUUAACAGCAGCAAGCAAUAAUAAACCAAGAUGAGCAACUUCACUGACGCAGGCCUGAAAAGAUAUAUCUUAUUCCUUUACUUUAAAUUGAUACCUGUGUGCUAAACUCUGUAAACAGACAAAUGGUUAAAUCAGGAAAAGAAGUCAUAAGUUAUAAGGAUGGAAGUAAAAAUCAACUUAUUACUUUUAUUGUAACCGUAAACGUAACACAGUGGGUUUAAAAUGUUGGCUGAGCGACUCGAGAGAAGAGCAAGAAAGUCAACUAGAUGAUGUACUGGAUAUUAAAGAAUUUCUCUUUAAUUUU